rnacentral:rRNA from 1 species
AUGCAAGUCGAGCGGUAAGGCCCUUUCGGGGGUACACGAGCGGCGAACGGGUGAGUAACACGUGGGUGACCUGCCCUUAGCUCUGGGAUAAGCCCGGGAAACUGGGUCUAAUACCGGAUAUGACUCCACGGUGCAUGUCGUGGGGUGGAAAGCCUUGUGCGGCUGAGGAUGGGCCCGCGGCCUAUCAGCUUGUUGGUGGGGUGAUGGCCUACCAAGGCGACGACGGGUAGCCGGCCUGAGAGGGCGACCGGCCACACUGGGACUGAGACACGGCCCAGACUCCUACGGGAGGCAGCAGUGGGGAAUCUUGCGCAAUGGGCGAAAGCCUGACGCAGCGACGCCGCGUGAGGGAUGACGGCCUUCGGGUUGUAAACCUCUUUCAGCUCCGACGAAGCGGAAGUGACGGUAGGAGCAGAAGAAGCACCGGCCAACUACGUGCCAGCAGCCGCGGUAAUACGUAGGGUGCAAGCGUUGUCCGGAAUUAUUGGGCGUAAAGAGCUCGUAGGCGGUCUGUCGCGUCGGCUGUGAAAACUCGGGGCUCAACUCCGAGCUUGCAGUCGAUACGGGCAGACUAAGAAUUCGGCAGGGGAGACUGGAAUUUCCUGGUGUACCGGUGAAAAUGCGCGAAUAUCAGGAGGAACAACCGGUUGCAAAGGCGGGUUCUUUUGGGCCGAUACUUGACGCUUGAGGAAGCGAAAGCGUGGGGGAGCGAACAAGAAUUAGAUACCCUGGGUAGUCCACGCCGUAAAACGUUUGGCGCUAGGUUUGGGAUCCCUUCCACGGGUUCCGUGACCGCAGCUAACGCAUUAAGCGCCCCCGCCUGGGGAGUACGGCCGCAAGGGUAAAAAUCAAAGGAAAUUGACGGGGGCCCGCACAAACGGCGGAGCAUGUGGAUUAAUUCGAUGCAACGCGAAGAACCUUACCUGGGUUUGACAUACACCGGAAAGCCGUGGAGACAUGGCCUCCGCAAGGCCGGUGUACAGGUGGUGCAUGGCUGUCGUCAGCUCGUGUCGUGAGAUGUUGGGUUAAGUCCCGCAACGAGCGCAACCCUCGUCCUAUGUUGCCAGCGGGUUAUGCCGGGGACUCAUGGGAGACUGCCGGGGUCAACUCGGAGGAAGUUGGGGACGACGUCCAAGUCUAUCAUGCCCCUUAUGUCCAGGGCUUCACACAUGCUACAAUGGCCGGUACAGAGGGCUGCUAAGCCGUGAGGUGGAGACUGAAUCCCACAUAAGCCGGUCUCAGUUCGGAUCCGGGGUCCAUCGCAACUCGACCCCGUUGAAGUCGGAGUCGCUUAGUUAACUCGCAGAUCAUGCAACGCUGCGGUGAAUACGUUCCCGGGCGCGUUGUACACACCGCCCUGUCACGUCACGAGA